rnacentral:misc_RNA from 1 species
UACGGAGGGUGCGAGCGUUAAUCGGAAUUACUGGGCGUAAAGCGCGCGUAGGUGGCUUGAUAAGCCGGUUGUGAAAGCCCAGGGCUCAACCUGGGAAGGGCAUCCGGAACUGGGAAGCUAGAGUACAGGAGAGGAAGGUAGAAUUCCCGGUGUAGCGGUGAAAUGCGUAGAGAUCGGGAGGAAUACCAGUGGCGAAGGCGGCCUUCUGGACUGACACUGACGCUGAGGUGCGAAAGCGUGGGUAGCAAACAUG